UUCCGGUUGAUCCCGCCGGACCCGACCGCUAUCGGGGUGGGGCUAACCCAUGGAAGUCUAGGAGCCGGGGCUACGGCCGGCUCCGGCGGACGGCUCAGUAGCACGUGGCUAACCUACCCUCGGGAGGGGGAUAACCCCGGGAAACUGGGGAUAAACCCCCAUAGGCGCGGACACCUGGAAUGGGUCCGCGCUGGAAGGGCCACGGUACCAUGCUUACCGUGGCCGCCCGAGGAUGGGGCUGCGCCCUAUCAGGUAGUUGGCGGGGUAACGGCCCGCCAAGCCGAUAACGGGUGGGGGCCGUGAGAGCGGGAGCCCCGAGAUGGGCACUGAGACAAGGGCCCAGGCCCUACGGGGUGCACCAGGGGCGAAACUUCCGCAAUGCGGGAAACCGUGACGGAGUCACCCCGAGUGCCACCCGAAGAGGGUGGCUUUUGCCCGGUCUAAAAAGCCGGGCGAAUAAGCGGGGGGCAAGCUUGGUGUCAGCCGCCGCGGUAAUACCAACCCCGCGAGUGGUCGGGACGUUUAUUGGGCCUAAAGCGUCCGUAGCCGGCCCGGUAAGUCCCUCCUUAAAGCCCACGGCUCAACCGUGGGAGCGGAGGGAUACUGCCGGGCUAGGGGGCGGGAGAGGCCGGGGGUACUCCUGGGGUAGGGGCGAAAUCCUAUAAUCCCAGGAGGACCACCAGUGGCGAAGGCGCCCGGCUAGCACGCGCCCGACGGUGAGGGACGAAAGCUGGGGGAGCAAAGGGGAUUAGAUACCCCCGUAGUCCCAGCUGUAAGCGAUGCGGGCUAGGUGUUGGACGGGCUUCGAGCCCGUCCAGUGCCGUAGGGAAGCCGUUAAGCCCGCCGCCUGGGGAGUACGGCCGCAAGGCUGAAACUUAAAGGAAUUGGCGGG
rnacentral:rRNA from 1 species